UGCUCGGGGUUUACGAAGUGAACGUGUGUAUCAAUUGCACCAGCAGUUAUAAUUUUACCUUCUGCUGCAAUAACAUCCGUUGAUGCACCGAUAAUAAUAUCGACAUUAUCCAUAAUGUCAGGGUUACCGGCUUUUCCAAUUUUCAUAAUAUAACCGUUUUUAAUCCCCACGUCUCCUUUGAUUACUUUGUCAUAAUCAAGGAUAAGUGCGUUUGUAAUAACUAAAUCGGCUACUUUCUUGUCAUCUCUUGUUACAUUUGGGUUUUGAGCCAUACCAUCUCU
rnacentral:sRNA from 1 species